rnacentral:rRNA from 1 species
GUGUCAGCAGCCGCGGUAAUACGUAGGGUGCAGGCGUUAAUCGGAAUUACUGGGCGUAAAGCGUGCGCAGGUGGUUUGCUAAGACAGGUGUGAAAUCCCCGGGCUUAACCUGGGAACUGCGCUUGUAACUGGCAAGCUUGAGUGCGGCAGAGGGGGGUGGAAUUCCACGUGUAGCAGUGAAAUGCGUAGAGAUGUGGAGGAACACCGAUGGCGAAGGCAGCCCCCUGGGUCGACACUGACGCUCAUGCACGAAAGCGUGGGGAGCAAACAGGAUUAGAAACCCCUGUAGUCC